rnacentral:rRNA from 1 species
UACGAGUGCCCCAAGCGUUAUCCGGAAUUAUUGGGCGUAAAGGGUGUGUAGGCGGUUGUGUUAGUCUCAUGUCAAAUUCUUCGGCUUAACCGGGGUACCGCAUGGGAAACGGCACAACUAGAGGAUGCGAGGGGUGAGUGGAACUCAUGGAGUAGGGGUGGAAUCCGUUGAUAUCAUGGGGAACACCGAAAGCGAAGGCAGCUCACUGGCGCACUCCUGACGCUGAAACACGAAAGCGUGGGUAGCGAAUGGG